AACGAACGCUGGCGGCAGGCUUAACACAUGCAAGUCGAGCGCACCCUUCGGGGUGAGCGGCGGACGGGUGAGUAACGCGUGGGAACGUGCCCUCUUCUACGGAAUAGCCCAGGGAAACUUGGAUUAAUGCCGUAUACGCCCGAAAGGGGAAAGAUUUAUCGGAGGAGGAUCGGCCCGCGUUGGAUUAGGUAGUUGGUGGGGUAAUGGCCUACCAAGCCGACGAUCCAUAGCUGGUUUGAGAGGAUGAUCAGCCACACUGGGACUGAGACACGGCCCAGACUCCUACGGGAGGCAGCAGUGGGGAAUCUUGGACAAUGGGGGAAACCCUGAUCCAGCCAUGCCGCGUGAUCGAUGAAGGCCUUAGGGUUGUAAAGAUCUUUCAGCUGGGAAGAUAAUGACGGUACCAGCAGAAGAAGCCCCGGCUAACUCCGUGCCAGCCGCCGCAGUAAUAC
rnacentral:rRNA from 1 species